ACAAGCGGAGGAGCAUGUGGUUUAAUUCGAUGAUACGCGAGGAACUUACCUGGGCUCGAACGUAAGAUGACUGUAGGUGAAAGCUUACAUCUCUUCGGAGCAUUUUUACGAGGUGCUGCAUGGUUGUCGUCAGCUCGUGCCGUGAGGUGUCGGGUUAAGUCCCAUAACGAGCGCAACCCUACCUUUAGUUGCCAUCAGGUAAUGCUGGGGACUCUAAAGGAACUGCCUACGCAAGUAGUGAGGAAGCGGGGAUGACGUCAAAUCAGCACGGCCCUUACGUCCAGGGCUACACACGUGCUACAAUGGCCGAUACAGAGGGCAGCUACCUGGUGACAGGAUGCAAAUCUCCAAAGUCGGUCUCAGUUCGGAUCGGAGUCUGCAACCCGACUCCGUGAAGUUGGAUUCGCUAGUAAUCGCGCAUCAGCCAUGGCGCGGUGAAUACGUUCCCGGGCCUU
rnacentral:rRNA from 1 species